AGAGUUUGAUCCUGGCUCAGGGCUAACGCUGGUGGUAUGCCUCAGACAUGCAAGUCGAGCGAGAAAGUCACCUUCGGGUGGCGAGUACAGCGGCGAGCGGGUGAGUAACACGUGGGUGACCUACCCUCGAAUUUGGCAUAACAUACCUAACGGUAUGCUAAUUCCAAAUAACAUAAUAGUAAGAAAUUAUUAUUAUAAAAGGUGGCAUUUCUUCGGAAGUGCUGUCGUUCGAGGAUGGGCCCGCGCUCUAUUAGCUUGUUGGUAGGGUAACGGCCUACCAAGGCUACGAUGGAUAGCCGGCCUGAGAGGGUGAUCGGCCACACUGGGAUUGAGAUACGGCCCAGACUCCUACGGGAGGCAGCAGUCGGGAAUUUUGGGCUAAUGUCCGAAAGGAUGACCCAGCAAUACCACGUGAGCGAUGAAGUAUUUUGGUACGUAAAGCUCUGUCAGGGAAUAAGAAAAAAGAUAAGGCGAAUAACCUUAACUCUUGACUAUUCCCAAAGGAAGCUCCGGCUAACUCCGUGCCAGCAGCCGCGGUAAUACGGGGGGAGCGAGCGUUGCCCGGAUUCACUGGGCGUAAAGGGUGUGUAGGUGGAUGUGUAAGUCAAGCGUGAAAUCCCACGGCUUAACCGUGGGUCUGCGCUUGAUACUGCAUUUCUUGAGUACAGAAGAGGAGAAUGGAAUUUCAGGUGUAGCGGUGAAAUGCGUAGAUAUCUGAAAGAACACCAGUUGCGAAGGCUAUUCUCUAUCCUGAUACUGACGCUGAAACACGAAAGCCGGGGGAGCGAACAGGAUUAGAUACCCUGGUAGUCCCAGCCGUAAACGAUGAAUACUAGGUGUUGGAGGCAUCAACCCCUUCAGUGCCGAAGCUAACGCAUUAAGUAUUCCGCCUGGGGAGUACGAUCGCAAGAUUGAAACUCAAAGGAAUUGACGGGGGCCUGCACAAGCGGUGGAGCAUGUGGUUUAAUUCGAUGCAACGCGAAAAACCUUACCGGGGUUUGACAUGGGAGCCCUCUUCGGAGGGUCAAUUCUAUAAAAGUAGAAUGAAUCCACACAGGUGCUGCAUGGCUGUCGUCAGCUCGUGUCGUGAGAUGUUGGGUUAAGUCCCGCAACGAGCGCAACCCUCGUCUUUAGUUGCCAUCAGGUCAAGCUGGGCACUCUAGAGAGACUGCCGGUCACAAACCGGAGGAAGGUGGGGAUGACGUCAAGUCCUCAUGGCCCUUAUAUCCCGGGCUACACACGUGCUACAAUGGUCCGUACAAAGGGAUGCAAUACUGCGAAGUAGAGCCAAUCCUUAAAGCGGGCCUCAGUUCGGAUUGCAGUCUGCAACUCGACUGCAUGAAGUUGGAAUCGCUAGUAAUCGCGGAUCAGCAUGCCGCGGUGAAUAUGUUCCCAGGCCUUGUACACACCGCCCGUCAAGUCAACCGAAUGGAAUGCACCCGAAGUCCUAUCUAUAUAAGCCGAAGGUGUGUUUCGUGAGAGGGACUAAGUCGUAACAAGGUAGCCGUACCGGAAGGUGCG
rnacentral:rRNA from 1 species